rfam:Bipolaris zeicola 26-R-13 unplaced genomic scaffold scaffold_91, whole genome shotgun sequence.
GCUAUGAUUAUCACUUUUUAACCCUGAGGUCCACUAUGAGGAUCAAAAAACGCAACACUCUAAUUUUUUAAUGAGC